rnacentral:lncRNA from 1 species
GCCAAAACUUGAUUCUACUUUUCAGGCAUUUUUUGCCUAACAUCUUAGUCUUUUGUCCUUUGAACAGCGUAAGAAUUUGGCAAAUAUCUUAAGUGAAAAUCCACUAGUGUUGGGCUUAUUUCUUUAUUAUUUCCUCCUCUUCAAGAUCUUUUUUUUUUCCUUAAAGAUUGACCCUGAGCCAACAUCUGUUGCCAAUCUUCCUCUUUUUCUUUUUUUUUCUUCUCUUCAAUGGUACAUAGUUGUAUAUUCUACUUGGGAGUGCCUCUGGAUGUGCUAUGUGGGACGUCACCUCAGCAUGGCUUGGUGAGCAGUGCUAGGUCCAUGCCCAGGAUCUGAACCAGCAAACCUUGGGUUGCUGAGGUGGACUUUGUGAAGCUAACCACUCAGCCACAGGGCUGACUCCUCCUCUUCAAGAUCUUGAACCUUAAAUCCUAGAUGCUUGAGAGUCCUAAACUCCAAUUUUUGUCUUUCCAUCCCUUUAAGGUCAUCAGAAGAACUGUUGGCUUCUCCGUCUCCCAGCAGAGGCCCCUCGGUUCUAUAUCUCUUUUAUUUCAGCUCACAUCUCUGCAUUGCCUUCCUCCUGGAAUUCUCUCUCACACAGAAAAGCCUGUGAAAAGACAAUUGUCUUGGUUUGGGUGCCUCCGGAAGCAGACCCUGAGGCAAGGUUUUGAAUGUAAGUAGUUUAUUUAGGGAGUGGAGCCAAGUCUGAGAAAACACCAGUGGGAGAGUAGGACACAGGCAUGGAAGAGAGAAAAAGCCAUGGGAAGCCAAUGAUCGUGGCGGACAAUUAGAGUUCAUUCCUGUUGGCAAAAUCAGAGAGACAUUAUAGAACUUAUCUCAGAGUUACCCAAGGGGAUAGAAGUUAAGGUAUUUAUCACUAAUAUCUUGUCCAUUAUUGGUCAAGGGCAGAUUUGGGGAGUAUUAAUUCUUGGGCACUUCUGGCUUGGCCUCUGUGGAAGUUGAACUUGCUCCCAUAGCCAAGAAAAAGCCAUCAGGCCAAGAGAAUCAUGGUAUUCACGGUUAGCAGCCUUUAGUAUAUAGAUGUGUAUUAAAGAAAAAAUAACGACUAGAGAAACCAAAGAUUGAACACUCAGUAAAAAAGAAAAGUUUUACUGCCAAGCAGGGAACCUAAUCUAACAUAGAGUUUAUGAAAGCUUUUGAAGAUGACGAAUGGGGUAGGAGAAGUAGAGUGGGUCUUUUAAACCCCAAAGACUCCACACUCUUUCUGUUCCAUAUGCUUUGUAUGUGAGGUCUCUGCCUGGAGAUUGUGGAACCUGGCUGACUCUGCUUUGUGUGUGAUGUGCUGAGUCAAGAUUAUAUUGCCGGUCAGAUCAGCCCCAGCGACAGCAGACUGAGUGGCCCACUCUGGGUUUAUCAGGUGAGUGCCAGGAAAGAAAAUGACACCUUUCCUGUAUUAAUUUUGGACAGCAUCUCGGGAAUAGGCCACAUCCUUCUUGAUUGAACUUGCAAUUGGCCCUGAAGGAAAAUGAUGUCCCCACAAUUAAUCAUCAUGGGGCUUGGAAAGCCCAAGGAGGAAAUGAGGUGAGAUUUCCUUAGUCUUAAUUAUGUGAUUUCAAGAAAUUAAAUGUUGUACUGAUAAUGUAAGGUCU